AACCAUGCAAGUCGAGCGGUAGAGAGAAGCUUGCUUCUCUUGAGAGCGGCGGACGGGUGAGUCAGUAUAGGAAUCUGCCUGGUAGUGGGGGAUAACGUUCGGAAACCGACUCUAAUACCGCAUACGUCCUACGGGAGAAAGCAGGGGACCUUCGGGCCUUGCGCUAUCAGAUGAGCCUAGGUCGGAUUAGCUAGUUGGUGAGGUAAUGGCUCACCAAGGCGACGAUCCGUAACUGGUCUGAGAGGAUGAUCAGUCACACUGGAACUGAGACACGGUCCAGACUCCUACGGGAGGCAGCAGUGGGGAAUAUUGGACAAUGGGCGAAAGCCUGAUCCAGCCAUGCCGCGUGUGUGAAGAAGGUCUUCGGAUUGUAAAGCACUUUAAGUUGGGAGGAAGGGCAUUAACCUAAUACGUUAGUGUUUUGACGUUACCGACAGAAUAAGCACCGGCUAACUCUGUGCCAGCAGCCGCGGUAAUACAGAGGGUGCAAGCGUUAAUCGGAAUUACUGGGCGUAAAGCGCGCGUAGGUGGUUUGUUAAGUUGGAUGUGAAAUCCCCGGGCUCAACCUGGGAACUGCAUUCAAAACUGACUGACUAGAGUAUGGUAGAGGGUGGUGGAAUUUCCUGUGUAGCGGUGAAAUGCGUAGAUAUAGGAAGGAACACCAGUGGCGAAGGCGACCACCUGGACUAAUACUGACACUGAGGUGCGAAAGCGUGGGGAGCAAACAGGAUUAGAUACCCUGGUAGUCCACGCCGUAAACGAUGUCAACUAGCCGUUGGGAGCCUUGAGCUCUUAGUGGCGCAGCUAACGCAUUAAGUUGACCGCCUGGGGAGUACGGCCGCAAGGUUAAAACUCAAAUGAAUUGACGGGGGCCCGCACAAGCGGUGGAGCAUGUGGUUUUAUUCGAAGCAACGGAAAAAACCUAACCAGGCCUUGACAUCCAAUGAACUUUUCUAGA
rnacentral:rRNA from 1 species